UACGUAGGGGGGCAAGCGUUGUCCGGAUUUAUUGGGCGUAAAGAGCGUGUAGGCGGCCUGAAAGGUCAGCUGUGAAAACUCGAGGCUCAACCUCGAGACGUCGGUUGAAACCAUCUGGCUAGAGUCCGGAAGAGGAGAGUGGAAUUCCCGGUGUAGCGGUGAAAUGCGCAGAUAUCGGGAAGAACACCCGUGGCGAAGGCGGCUCUCUGGGACGGUACUGACGCUGAGACGCGAAAAGCGUGGGGGAGCGAACAGG
rnacentral:rRNA from 1 species